rnacentral:rRNA from 1 species
UGAUAGGGAACUAAGAGUAUAUGGUGGAUGCCUUGACUUGAAAUGGCGAUGAAGGACGUGGCUUGGCUGCGAUAAGCUUGGGGGAAGUGCCUAGCAACUGUUAUAUCCCAAGAUUUCCGAAUGAGGAAACUCCUGCAUUUUGAUGCAGACCCAUGCGCUUGACGCAUGAGGAGCUUACCCAGGGAAGUAAAACAUUUCAGUACCUGGAGGAAUAGAAACUAAUUAGUAUUUCGUGAGUAGCGGCGAGCGAAAGCGGAGAAGCCCAAACUCAGUCUCACCUUUACUGUUCGAGCAAUCGAACUGUAGAGGUGUGACUGGGGGUUGUAAGGCAAUGACGUCGUAUUUAUACGAGAAGAGUUACAAAACAUUUUGUUAACCGAAUAUUCUGGAAAGAAUAGCCCCAGAGGGUAAUGGCCCCGUAGGUGAAAAUAAAAUGUCUCUUUUGUUAUUGUUCUUGAGUACUUCGAGACACGAAUGGCUCGGAGGAAUCUGCCGGAACUAACCGGUAAGGCUAAAUACAUUUCAAGAUCGAUAGUGAACUAGUACCGUGAGGGAAAGGUGAAAAGUAGCCCGGUGAGGGCAGUGAAAUAGACCUGAAACCAUAUACUUACAAGGAGUCAGAGCGGGUAGCAAUAUCCGUCAUGGCGUGCCUAUUGAAGAAUGAGCCAACGAGUUGAUGCAUGCUGCAAGGCUAAGGCCGAGAGGCUGGAGUCAUAGGGAAACCGAGUGUUAAUAGCGCGAUUAAGUAGUACGCAUCAGACCCGAAGCGAGAGUGAGCUUGCCAUGAGCAGGGUGAAGUAGUUCGAAAGAACUAUGGAGGCCCGAACGGGUAGACCGUUCAACAUCUUCCGAUGACUUGUGGUAAGAAGUGAAAAGCUAACCGAACCUCGUAAUAGCUGGUUCUCUCCGAAAUAGCUUUUGGGCUAGCGUGAGAUGUUCUUUUGGGGGGUAGAGCACUGGAAGGUCUCGACAGGGCGAAAGCUCGCGAGACCUAUCAAACUCCGAAUACCCAAAAUCAAGAAUCUUGCAGUUAGACUGUGGGGGCUAAGCUCCAUUGGUCAAAAGGGAAACAGCCCGGAUCUCAAUUUAAGGUCCCUAAAUCUAUGCUAAGUGCACUCAAGGUGGUGAUCGUUCUCAGACAAUGAGGAGGUUGGCUUAGAAGCAGCCAUCCUUUAAAGAAAGCGUAACAGCUCACUCAUCUAGAACUUUUGCGCCGAAGAUAAUCGGGGCUAAGCAUAGUACCGAAACUGAGGAUUAUAUCUAUUUUCGAAUAGGUAUACUGGUAGGAGAGUAUUCUCAUCGCGAUGAAGGUAAAGGGGUGACCCAUACUGGAGCGUUGAGAAGUAAGAAUGUUGGCACAAGUAACCACAAUUAAUGUGAAAACCAUUAACGUCGAAAGAUCAAGGUUUCCUUCGCAAUGACAAUCAGCGAAGGGUUAGUCGGGCCUAAGGAGAUGGCGAACGCCGCAUCCGAUGGACACAUGGUUAAUAUUCCAUGACUUUUAUAUUGUUCGAUGGGAGGACGGAGGGUAGUAUGAAAUGCACCUUAUUGGAUUGGUGUUUAUAUCGUAAGUGUGGCUCUUAGGUAAAUCCGGGAGCAGCCGCAAGGCACAUGCAAGCGACGUGACGAUGUGAGGGGUAACCCAAACUAAGAUUUCAAAGCACGCUCCCAAGAAAAUUCCCUAAGGUUAACAAUAUAAGAACCGUACCGCAAACCGACACAGGUGAUCAAGUCGAGUAGACUAAGACGAACGGGUGAGAGGUCCCCAAGGAACUCGGCAAAAAAGCAGCCGUAACUUCGGGAUAAGGCUUGCCUUCUUUAUUGAAGGCCGCAGCUAAAGUAUGCUUGGCAACUGUUUACCAAAAACACAGCUCCCUGCGAACUCGUAAGAGGAUGUAUAGGGGGUGACACCUGACCAAUGCCAGAAGGUCAAAUAUUGGGGGUGCUAUGUCGCAAGAUGUAGUGCUGAUUGAUAUAAGCCCUGGUGAAUGUCGGCCGUAACUAUAACGGUCCUAAGGUUGUCGGAUUAUUGCAAAAUGAUCCGACGAGGAUUGGGACUGUUAUAGAAAAAAGGUAAAUAAGUUUCUAAUAAAAGGAGAUAAUAAAAAGAAUUACACACAAACAAUGCUACCUGCAUUACAGUAAUGUAAUGCUAGUCCACACAUGGCUAUCGAGAGACCAGCGCCAUGCACCCUACUCAUUGAGAGGGUGAAGAUAGAGUCCUUCUUGAGGAAUAGAAGAGCGAAAUUCCUUGUCAGGUAAGUUCUGACGCGCUUGAAUGGUGUAAUGACUGAGCAACUGUCUCGGGGACUCGCCCGGUGAAAAUACAAUACCGGUGAAGAUGCCGGUUACCUGCAGCUAGACGAAAAGACCCCAGAAGCUUUACUGUAACUUGGUAUUGAAAAUACGUUGUUAAUGCGUAGCAUAGGUGGGAGACUUUGAAGUGAUUUUCUCGGAGAUCAUGGAGUCGUCAGUGAAAUACCACUCUUUAUAGAUGUAUUUUCUAACCUCGAGGGCAAAAACCUCGAGAAACAGUACCUGGUGGGCAGUUUUAGUGGGGCGCUAUCCUCCUAAAAAGUAACGGAGGAGUUCAUCAAGGUCAGCUAGGCGCGAAUGGAAACCGUGCCGAUAGUGCAUUGGCAUAAGCUGGCUUAACUGUGAGUCGUACAUGACGAGCAGACGCGAAAGCGGGACAAAGUGAACCGACGGUCCGCUUUAGAUGCGGCCGGAGAUUAUCGGAUAAAAGCUACUCUGGGGAUAACAGGCUGGUACUGCCUAAGCGUCCAGAGCGACGGCAGUGUUCGGCACCUCGAUGUCGGCUCAUCUUAUCCUGGGGGUGGAGAAGCUUCCAAGGGUUUGGCUGUUCGCCAAUUAAAAAGAUACGCGAGCUGGGUUCAGACCGUUAAGGAUCUAAACAAAUAUCGAGUAAGCACAUAGUUAGAGAAGAAAUCUUCUUAGUUUUUUUCUUGUGAUUUUGCUUACUUUGAAUUUGCUUUAAAUUUGGUUCUUUAACAGUCUGAAUCCCGAGGAUCAAAGGAUUACCACAUUUGACUGUAACUUGUUCACGGCGGUCCGAGAAAGAAAUUUUUCGUGACACAGUCGACUUAUAUCGGUGAAGCCCGUAUCAUGGGAACAUGAGCGAUGGUGACACCUAGGGAAAGAAUAAAAAUAUUCUGCCCGUAGAGACUACACGUCGACUAUCUUAACUCAAUCGAUAGGUUGAGAAAGAUAAUCAUAUAGUCCAUUGCCCCGAGAGAUCGGGAAAAAUACAAGCGUGAGACAGGUUGGUCUCCUAUCUGCUGCAGGCGUUGAUUCUUGAGGAGAUUUGACUCUAGUACGAGAGGACCGAGUUGAACGAACCUCUGGUCUGCCAGCUGUCCUGCCAAGGGCAUUGCUGGGUAGCUAAGUUCGGAAUGGAUAACCUCUGAAAGCAUCUAAGAGGGAAGCCAACUCCAAGAUUAGGAAUCGUUAUAGACUCGUGAGAGAUGAUCACGUGAUAGGCAUUAGGUGUACGCACUGUAAAGUGUUGAGCCGAGAUGUACUAAUCAGUCGAUCCUAUUAGG